UACGAAGGGUGCAAGCGUUACUCGGAAUUACUGGGCGUAAAGCGUGCGUAGGUGGUUCGUUAAGUCUGAUGUGAAAGCCCUGGGCUCAACCUGGGAAUGGCAUUGGAAACUGGCGACCUAGAGUGCGGUAGAGGGUAGUGGAAUUCCCGGUGUAGCAGUGAAAUGCGUAGAGAUCAGGAGGAACACCGGUGGCGAAGGCGGGUUGCUGGGCUGACACUGACGCUGAUGCGCGAAAGCUAGGGGAGCGAACGGG
rnacentral:rRNA from 1 species